UACGUAGGGGGCAAGCGUUGUCCGGAAUCAUUGGGCGUAAAGAGCGUGUAGGCGGCUUGGCAAGUCUGGUGUGAAAUCUUGCGGCUCAACCGCAAGCGGUCACUGGAAACUGCCUCGCUAGAGUCCGGAAGAGGAGAGCGGAAUUCCUGGUGUAGCGGUGGAAUGCGCAGAUAUCAGGAAGAACACCCGUGGCGAAGGCGGCUCUCUGGGGACGGUACUGACGCUGAGACGCGAAAGCGUGGGGAGCGAACAGG
rnacentral:rRNA from 1 species